CCAAGGUGCCCAGUGUUGUGGCCAGUAAAGGUGCUCAACGUAGAUAAAGAUUUGUGUACUGUGCUGGUUAAAAGUGACAAUGCUGAGUAAAUUAAUGAAAAAGAACUUGAAAAAAACAGUUGAUUGCUUCAUUGAGGAUAUUUCCUGGACAACAGAUGAAAUGAAAACACCAUUUCUCGAUGUGACACCAACCCAGACUAUUUGCACAUCCUCGACAGAUAUUACACUACCCCGAAACAUUGACACACCAACCAAGGAUGUGGCACCAACCCAGAACAUGUGUGCACCAACCAAGGAUGUGGCACUAACCCAGAACAUUGACACACCUACCAAGGAUGUGACACCAACUCAGAACAUUGGCACACCAACCAAGGAUGUGGCACCACUUGAUAAC